ensembl:lncRNA
AGUUAGGGUCAGGGUCAAGGCCAGUUAGGGUCAGGGUCAAUGCCAGUUAGGGUCAGGGUCAAGGCCAGUUAGGGUCAGGGUCAACGCCCGUUAGGGUCAACGCCAGUUAGGGUCAGGAUCAAUUCCAGUUAAGGUCAGGGUCAACGCCAGUUAGGGUCAACGCCAGUUAGGGUCAGGGUCAACGCCAGUUAGGGUCAGGGUCAACUCCAGUUAGGGUCAGGGUCAACGCCAGUUAGGGUCAACGCCAGUUAGUGUCGGGGCCAACACCAGUUAGGGUCAGGGUCAAGGCCAGUUAGGGUCAGGGUCAAGGCCAGUUAGGGUCAGGGUCAAGGCCAGUUAGGGUCGGGGCCAACGCCAGUUAGGGUCGGGGCCAAGGCCAGUUAGGGUCAGGGUCAAGGCCAGUUAGGGUCAGGGUCAAGGCCAGUUGGGGUCAGGGCCAAGGCCAGUUAGGGUCAGGGCCAAUGCCAGUUAGGUCAGGGUCAACGCCAGUUAGGGUCAGGGUCAAGGCCAGUUAUGGUCAGGGUCAAGGCUAGUUAGGGUCAUGGUCACUGCUAAUUAGGGCCAACGCCAGUUAGGGUCAACACCAGUUAGGGUCAGGGUCAACGCCAGUUAGGGUCAGGGUCAAUGCCAGUUAGGGUCAGGGUCAAUGCCAGUUAGGGUCAGGGUCAACGCCAGUUAGGGUCAGGGUCAACGCCAGUUAGGGUCAGGGUCAAGGCC